UCGGGAAUUUUGGGCAAUGGGGGAAACCCUGACCCAGCAACGCCGCGUGAAGGAUGAAGUAUUUCGGUAUGUAAACUUCGAAAGAAUAGGAAGAAUAAAUGACGGUACUAUUUAUAAGGUCCGGCUAACUACGUGCCAGCAGCCGCGGUAAUACGUAGGGACCAAGCGUUGUUCGGAUUUACUGGGCGUAAAGGGCGCGUAGGCGGUAUGACAAGUCACUUGUGAAAUCUCUGGGCUUAACCCAGAACGGCCAAGUGAUACUGUCGCGCUAGAGUGCAGAAGGGGCAAUCGGAAUUCUUGGUGUAGCGGUGAAAUGCGUAGAUAUCAAGAGGAACACCUGAGGUGAAGACGGGUUGCUGGGCUGACACUGACGCUGAGGCGCGAAAGCCAGGGGAGCAAACGGGAUUAGAUACCCCCGUAGUCCCUGAGCGGGCUGGCAAGGCGCAU
rnacentral:rRNA from 1 species